GAUGAACGCUGGCGGCGUGCUUAACACAUGCAAGUCGAACGGUGAAGGCGGAGCUUGCUCUGCUGGAUCAGUGGCGAACGGGUGAGUAACACGUGAGCAAUCUGCCCCUGACUCUGGGAUAAGCGCUGGAAACGGCGUCUAAUACUGGAUACGAGCUGCGAAGGCAUCUACAGCAGCUGGAAAGAAUUUCGGUCAGGGAUGAGCUCGCGGCCUAUCAGCUUGUUGGUGAGGUAAUGGCUCACCAAGGCGUCGACGGGUAGCCGGCCUGAGAGGGUGACCGGCCACACUGGGACUGAGACACGGCCCAGACUCCUACGGGAGGCAGCAGUGGGGAAUAUUGCACAAUGGGCGAAAGCCUGAUGCAGCAACGCCGCGUGAGGGACGACGGCCUUCGGGUUGUAAACCUCUUUUAGCAGGGAAGAAGCGAAAGUGACGGUACCUGCAGAAAAAGCGCCGGCUAACUACGUG
rnacentral:rRNA from 1 species